rnacentral:rRNA from 1 species
ACAAGGCAUACGGCUCAGUAACGCGUAGUCAACCUAACCUAUGGACGGGAAUAACCUCGGGAAACUGAGAAUAAUGCCCGAUAGAACAUUAUGCCUGGAAUGGUUUAUGUUCCAAAUGAUUUAUCGCCGUAGGAUGGGACUGCGGCCUAUCAGUUUGUUGGUGAGGUAAUGGCCCACCAAGACUAUUACAGGUACGGGCUCUGAGAGGAGUAGCCCGGAGAUGGGUACUGAGACACGGACCCAGGCCCUAUGGGGCGCAGCAGGCGAGAAAACUUUGCAAUGUGCGAAAGCACGACAAGGUUAAUCCGAGUGGUUUCUGCUAAAGAAACCUUUUGUCAGUCCUAGAAACACUGAUGAAUAAGGGGUGGGCAAGUUCUGGUGUCAGCCGCCGCGGUAAAACCAGCACCUCAAGUGGUCAGGAUGAUUAUUGGGCCUAAAGCAUCCGUAGCCGGCUCUGUAAGUUUUCGGUUAAAUCUGUACGCUCAACGUACAGGCUGCCGGGAAUACUGCAGAGCUAGGGAGUGGGAGAGGUAGACGGUACUCGGUAGGAAGGGGUAAAAUCCUUUGAUCUAUUGAUGACCACCUGUGGCGAGGGCGGUCUACCAGAACACGUCCGACGGUGAGGGAUGAAAGCUGGGGGAGCAAACCGGAUUAGAUACCCGGGUAGUCCCAGCUGUAAACUAUGCAAACUCAGUGAUGCAUUGGCUUGUGGCCAAUGCAGUGCUGCAGGGAAGCCGUUAAGUUUGCCGCCUGGGAAGUACGUACGCAAGUAUGAAACUUAAAGGAAUUGGCGGGGGAGCACCACAAGGGGUGAAGCCUGCGGUUCAAUUGGAGUCAACGCCGGA